AGGGUUUGAUCAUGGCUCAGAACGUACGCUGGCGGCACGCCUAACACAUGCAAGUCGAACGAAGUAGCAAUACUUAGUGGCAGACGGGUGAGUAACAUGUGGGUAUCUGCCCUUUGGCCUGGAAUAACACGAGGAAACUUGUGCUAAUACCGGAUAAGUCUUUACGGAGAAAGCUUUAUGCACCAUUGGAUGAGCCCGCACUUGAUUAGUUUGUUGGUGGGGUAAUGGCCUACCAAGACUGUGAUCAAUAGCUGAUUUGAGAGGAUGAUCAGCCACAUUGGGACUGAGACACGGCCCAAACUCCUACGGGAGGCAGCAGUGGGGAAUCUUGCACAAUGGAGGAAACUCUGAUGCAGCGAUGCCGCGUGAGUGAAGAAGGCCCUUGGGUUGUAAAGCUCUUUCGUCGGGGAAGAAAAUGACUGUACCCGAAUAAGAAGGUCCGGCUAACUUCGUGCCAGCAGCCGCGGUAAUACGAAGGGACCUAGCGUAGUUCGGAAUUACUGGGCUUAAAGAGUUCGUAGGUGGUUGAAAAAGUUAGUGGUGAAAUCCCAGAGCUUAACUCUGGAACUGCCAUUAAAACUUUUCAGCUAGAGUAUGAUAGAGGAAAGCAGAAUUUCUAGUGUAGAGGUGAAAUUCGUAGAUAUUAGAAAGAAUACCAAUUGCGAAGGCAGCUUUCUGGAUCAUUACUGACACUGAGGAACGAAAGCAUGGGUAGCGAAGAGGAUUAGAUACCCUCGUAGUCCAUGCCGUAAACGAUGUGUGUUAGACGUUGGAAAUUUAUUUUCAGUGUCGCAGCGAAAGCGAUAAACACACCGCCUGGGGAGUACGACCGCAAGGUUAAAACUCAAAUGAAUUGACGGGGACCCGCACAAGUAGUGGAGCAUGUGGUUUAAUUCGAAGAUACGCGCAGAACCUUACCAACACUUGACAUGUUCGUCGCGACUCUAAGAGAUUAGAGUUUUCGGUUCGGCCGGACGAAACACAGGUGCUGCAUGGCUGUCGUCAGCUCGUGUCGUGAGAUGUUGGGUUAAGUCCCGCAACGAGCGCAACCCUCACUUUUAGUUGCCAUCAUUAAGUUGGGCACUCUGAAAGAACUGCCAGUGAUAAGCUGGAGGAAGGUGGGGAUGACGUCAAGUCCUCAUGGCCCUUACGUGUUGGGCUACACACGUGCUACAAUGGUAUCUACAACAGGAAGCAAGACUGCGAGGUCAAGCAAAUCCUUAAAAGAUACCUCAGUUCGGAUUGCACUCUGCAACUCGAGUGCAUGAAGCUGGAAUUACUAGUAAUCGUGGAUCAGCGUGCCACGGUGAAUGCGUUCCCGGGUCUUGUACACACCGCCCGUCACACCAUGGGAGUUGGUUCUACCUUAAGGCAAGGUUUCAAACCCUUGACCACGGUAUAGUCAGCGACUGGGGUGAAGUCAUAACAAGGUAGCCG
rnacentral:rRNA from 1 species